rnacentral:rRNA from 1 species
GUGGGGAAUCUUGCGCAAUGGGCGAAAGCCUGACGCAGCCAUGCCGCGUGAAUGAUGAAGGUCUUAGGAUUGUAAAAUUCUUUCACCGGGGACGAUAAUGACGGUACCCGGAGAAGAAGCCCCGGCUAACUUCGUGCCAGCAGCCGCGGUAAUACGAAGGGGGCUAGCGUUGCUCGGAAUUACUGGGCGUAAAGGGCGCGUAGGCGGAUCGUUAAGUCAGGGGUGAAAUCCCAGAGCUCAACUCUGGAACUGCCCUUGAUACUGGAGAUCUUGAGUGUGAGAGAGGUAUGUGGAACUCCGAGUGUAGAGGUGAAAUUCGUAGAUAUUCGGAAGAACACCAGUGGCGAAGGCGACAUACUGGCUCAUUACUGACGCUGAGGCGCGAAAGCGUGGGGAGCAAACAGGAUUAGAAACCCGGGUAGUCC